UCCGUAGGUGAACCUGCGGAAGGAUCAUUAAAAAGAAUUUGGCCUCGCGGCCUUCACUGGAAAGCGGCCACGGGGUUCAUCCCUCGGGGUCGCCGACAGUUCUACCCACUGUGAAAACCCUUGUUGCUUCGGCAGCGCCUCCCCGUCCGCGGGGAGGGUCAGCCUGCCGGCGGCACAUCGGAAACCCUUUUCGUGAACCUGUACAAGAAUACGUCUGAGAGCGCAGUCGAAUGACAUAUAAAACUUUCAACAACGGAUCUCUUGGUUCCCGCAUCGAUGAAGAACGCAGCGAAACGCGAUAGUUAAUGUGAAUUGCAGAAUUCAGUGAAUCAUCGAGUCUUUGAACGCACAUUGCGCCUUUUGGUAUUCCUUAGGGCAUGCCUGUUCGAGCGUCAUUUACACCUUCAAGCUCUGCUUGGUGUUGGGCGUCUGUCCUGUCCCCCUCGGGGGCGUGGACUCGCCUUAAAUCUAUUGGCGGCCGGUACCGUGGCUUUGAGCGCAGCACAUCAGCGAACCUCAUCGCCGGAGCGUAUCGGCUCCAGAAGCCCA
rnacentral:rRNA from 1 species